rnacentral:rRNA from 1 species
UUGAAAGGGAAACGAUUGAAGUCAGUCGUGCUGGCGCGAAAUCAACCUUCUCGUCUCGAGAUCACAUGGCGUGGCGAGCCUCAAAACCGUCACGAAGCGUGAACUCUUGGUGAAAUGGAGUACUUUCGUGUCCGCUGGUUAACAUCAAUUUCGAACGUCAUAAAAAGGCUGGAGGGAUGUGGCUCCUUCGGGAGUGUUAUAACUUUUAGCGGAAUGUGGUGGUCGGGAUUGAGGAUUGCAACGAAUACCUUUAGGGCUGUUCCGCCUGGCUUCUCAUUGGUAUCCUGGUGACGACAGCUUGCUGACGUUGUUGGGUUCGCCUUUGAACAGGUUAGAGUGUGAGCAAAUUCGUUAAGGAUGUUGACGUA